rnacentral:misc_RNA from 1 species
GGCGUGUAAAAGGACUCAUACAGGUAAUUUGUUCACCAUGCAGAAACUGGUUGUUCCUGCUGCUCUUAAUCAUAAUGAUCAUAUUCUUUUCUUUUAGAAAGUGGUAGUAAAUUAUCAUAGCUGGUUAUAAUUAUGUUAUUACCAUCUUCUAGAGUUAGCUGAUUGAAAUGGGAUUAAGGCUUAAUUGAGCUGAGUUGAGUAGAGAUUGUGAUGGUAGGAGUUACCAUUGUUUAAGAAUUCAAAAGCACCUGAUUUGGAUUUGAGUAGAGCAGAGUGAAGCUUGUUGAGUUUUUUUCCCCUUGUCUUGCUUGAUUUCCUGCAAUUUCUUGGAGAAAAAAAAUGUAUAGGUGAUUGAAUUGGGAUAGAUUCAAAAUUAUGUAGUAUUGGCCUCUCAAAUUAGAGCACUAUGUGUGGCAUCUCCUUACAUUCAGAAGAAAUUGAGAUAAACUUUCAAUUCCUUAACAGCUUUAUUGUACAUGGUAGGUCUACUGGAUGCACGCAAAUGUUGUAAUUUUUUUCUAGUUAUAUGAGAUGUUUACUUUAGCUUUUGUAAAAGGUGAAAACCAAGGUCUAUGUCAAUUAGAGUAACCGAGAAAUGCAAAAGAUAAUGGAUGGAAAAGCGAUGACCUAGAUAGUUAAAAUCUUGGGCAGAAAGUUCAGAAAUAUUAAGUUCUUUUUAAAUAGAUUUCAUGGUUACAUUCUUAUUAUAUGACUAUUAUACAUGUCUGGUUAGGAGUUGAUAAGCUUUUCAUAUCUAUCUUGUCUUGUGAGGAUUGGAUUUAUUCUCAGUCAUGAAGCCAUUGAAAUAUCUUUUUAGUAUUAUAUAGUAUCCUUGAUAAAAACAUGAUAGAGCAUAAUGAAAUGAAGAUUUAAUUGAUCAAUGAAUAAGAAAUUCCUUCCAUUUUGCUCCAGUAUAGUCUAUCAAAUGUACCAGUAAGGUGAUAAUUAGUGUUUGUAUUUACCUAGGCCCUUUUGAACAUCCUAAAGUUAUUUUCCCAGGUUGUGCAAAAGUAAGCACAAUGGGCUUGAAAUUUUCAUUAAAUUUCAUGGAUCUCGGUCUGGUUGAUGUUGAACUUGAUUCUUGAGUUAGUUCAGAGGUUCAUUGAUCUAGAGGAAAGGGUGAACAGAGGGUUGUUCACCGCCUCUUAACUGAAUUGAAACUCCCUUGCAUGAAAUGAAUAGGGCAAUAAUGCUAUGAAACCCUGUACCUUCGGGCAAUGUUGGAGUUUGUGGACAAUCUUUGGACCAUGGCCAAUGCCAAAGGCUUCUCGUUAGUAGUCUAAAAAGCUUUAGAUUUAGGCCGUGUUCUGAGAGGAUACUUAUGAUUUUCAGUAGUAUUUUCUUGGCUGAUAGAUAUAAUGUGACCUCAUGUUGCUUGAUAAUCUAGAACGACCUUCAUGAAUUGUUUUUAGUGUAUUAUGCAUAUUGAUUGGGGACAUUGUUUGGAGACUCUCUCUCUCUCUCUCUCU